UAACACUAGUUCCCAUACAAUCACUGAAAUUAAGCAACUUCAGGCCUGGUCAGUACAUAGAUGGGUAACCACUUGGGAAUACCAGGUGCUGUAA